UACGGAGGGUGCGAGCGUUAAUCGGAAUUACUGGGCGUAAAGCGCGCGUAGGUGGUUCGUUAAGUUGGAUGUGAAAGCCCCGGGCUCAACCUGGGAACUGCAUCCAAAACUGGCGAGCUAGAGUAUGGCAGAGGGUGGUGGAAUUUCCUGUGUAGCGGUGAAAUGCGUAGAUAUAGGAAGGAACACCAGUGGCGAAGGCGACCACCUGGGCUAAUACUGACACUGAGGUGCGAAAGCGUGGGGAGCAAACAGG
rnacentral:rRNA from 1 species